GGACGGAUGUGGAGGGGCUGAGCAUGCUCCGUUGUAGGAGCUGAAGCCAAGCACGCUUUUCCCGUCUCUGCCCUCAAGGCAAGAAUGGAGCAAAGGCACUGGGGGAGCUUUGGUGCAAGUCUAGGGCAAGUCUAUUUAGCCAUGAGCCUUCUGAGCUCAGUUGGGACCAACUUCCAGGUGCUGUUUGUCAUCCGGUUGCUGGAUUAGUGUGACCAGUAGUGCUGGGCUGGGUGUCUGCCCAUCUGGGUUCUGGUCCUGUCACGGCCAUGAACUUCACUGACUAACUCCCAAGGUGGUUGUGAGGAUAACAUAGAGAGGAGAAAGAUCAUAUCACAGAAAUGUAUUAGGUGGUUGUUGCAAGAUGAGAACACGAGAAGCCCUCACAGACAGCUCAGUGCUGUUCUUCCAUCUGUGUCAAGAGACAAGCGCUGGUGGAUCCAACUGCCACUUUGUCAUCCCUUCAUUAUUGCCCUUUCUAGUUGGCCCCAUUUUAUCAGGGAAAGACAUAAAUGCAAUAAUAAACAAGUCAAUAAACAUUUGUGGUCAGUA